GACACACGAGGAGAGGAUGGAAAACAAGAAAAACAUGGAAGGGGGGGGAACAGCCGGGAUGAAUCUCACCAAUGAAGUGUCUUCUCAGGGUCUUCCAGUCUGGUCUCAGCCUCCGGACAGCUCAAGGCGAACCCCACAGACAGAUAAGAGGGAAGGAAGGUGAUCAGAGGGGGAGAACACAAUCCACCGACAACACCAAUGCCGGACGAAGAGCCCACAGGAACCUCGGCAUCUAUCCAGGGAGAAGGCAGGGAGACGACAAAGCGGUCAAGAUGCAAUAGACUUGCUGUCGUGGAAGGAAGCAGGAGGAAGCGCAGUCUCAGCGGGGUAACAGGAAGGGCAGCAGGAGAACAGGCGAGGCAGGCACCGACCCGGCAGAGACAGAAGAGGUGCCAGCACUUUCACCACCCAGGCAGAGAGGAGCGGAGCAGAGGGAAGCAACAAACAGAGGAAAGCAACAAGUCCCACUGGAAUCAAACAGCGAGGGACAGAAGCAGGGAGUCAGCACCAGCAUCACCGGGAUCCACAACCACGGCCAUCUCAGAGCCAGCAACAUGAAGGAGGGGACAAGCGGACUGCAGAGAAAAAAAGACGACAUCGAACCAGGCGCUGAAGAUAUAGGAAAAUUGCGCAACAACAAGACAAGUACAUUUGUAAACAAGACACAGAUCAACAAGAAAAAAUGACUGUGGUUAAUCUUUUAUCCAAGGAACUUACUACCUCUGAAGUUGAAAGUAUGGUUUAAAGACAAGACCUGUCUCCUUCCUCAGUGAUGAUAUACCGAUGGGGGAUGAAGAUGAGGAUGGAUGUGUGGCUGCACUGGCCGGAGAUGUUUGCGAUUCCUCUGUUUAUAUUACUUCAAUUGUUUUUAUUUAUUUAACAUACCCAGGUUGAGCCAUGACGAAAAAGAUGUAUUUUCAAUAUAAUAUUAAUAGAAUUGGUUCAUGUAUUUAUGGUGUGAGGAGAACCCUCAUGGGCUUAUGGAUUUUAUCCGAUAUUCCAUUUGGUGAGGGUGAUGCCUACUUGAUGGUGGACAUUCAUCCUACCCUUUGGUCCGUUUUUCCUGUAUUGCCCCUGUUUAUACAUUUUAUAUUGCGAUACUUGUUCGGCUAGUUUAGAAUGUGACAA